AUUGAACGCUGGCGGCAGGCCUAACACAUGCAAGUCGAGCGGCGCGGCGGACGGGUGAGUAAUGCCUAGGAAUCGGGAUGGGAGUGGGGGAUAACGUCCGGAAACGGGCGCUAAUACCGCAUCCUAUCACUAGAGCCUAGACGGGAUUAGCAAGUUGGUGGGGUAAAGGCCUACCAAGGCGACGAUCCGUAACUGGUCUGAGAGGAUGAUCAGUCACACUGGAACUGAGACACGGUCCAGACUCCUACGGGAGGCAGCAGUGGGGAAUAUUGGACAAUGGGCGAAAGCCUGAUGCAGCCAUGCCGCGUGUAUGAAGAAGGUCUUCGGAUUGUAAAGCACUUUAAGUUGGGAGGCGUUACCAACAGAAUAAGCACCGGCUAACUUCGUGCCAGCAGCCGCGGUAAUAC
rnacentral:rRNA from 1 species